rnacentral:ncRNA from 1 species
GUCCAUAGAGCGUCCAUAGACGUCACCUUUUGAUUCUUCUAUGGAUUCUUCCUCUCAUUGCAAAGUAGAAUUCGCCAGGUGGUGAGUUAUUCAUCCACCAAUAGGAAACGUGCGCUGGGUUUAGGCCAUUAUGGUUGAGGUU